AGUCGAGCGGUACAGGAAGAAGCUUGCUUUCUUUGCUGACGAGCGGCGGACGGGUGAGUAACGCGUAGGAAUCUGCCUAGUAGUGGGGGACAACAUGUGGAAACGCAUGCUAAUACCGCAUACGCCCUACGGGGGAAAGGAGGGGAUCUUCGGACCUUUCGCUAUUAGAUGAGCCUGCGUAAGAUUAGCUAGUUGGUGGGGUAAAGGCUCACCAAGGCGACGAUCUUUAGCUGGUCUGAGAGGAUGAUCAGCCACACUGGGACUGAGACACGGCCCAGACUCCUACGGGAGGCAGCAGUGGGGAAUAUUGGACAAUGGGCGCAAGCCUGAUCCAGCCAUGCCGCGUGUGUGAAGAAGGCCUUCGGGUUGUAAAGCACUUUCAGAAGUGAGGAAGGGUGACUGGCUAAUAUCCAGUUAUCUUGACGUUAGCUUCAGAAGAAGCACCGGCUAACUCUGUGCCAGCAGCCGCGGUAAUACAGAGGGUGCGAGCGUUAAUCGGAAUUACUGGGCGUAAAGCGCGCGUANGUGGUUUGUUAAGUCGGAUGUGAAAGCCCAGGGCUCAACCUUGGAAUUGCACCCGAUACUGGCAGGCUAGAGUACGGUAGANGGGUGUGGAAUUUCCUGUGUAGCGGUGAANUGCGUAGAUAUAGNAAGGAA
rnacentral:rRNA from 1 species